rnacentral:snoRNA from 1 species
AUAUCAAUUAAUUAUGAGGAAUACCUUAAUCUGACCUUAUUAUCAUCAUGU